GACGAACGCUGGCGGCGUGCUUAACACAUGCAAGUCGAGCGGUAAGGCCCUUUCGGGGUACACGAGCGGCGAACGGGUGAGUAACACGUGGGUGACCUGCCUCUAGCUCUGGGAUAAGCCCGGGAAACUGGGUCUAAUACUGGAUAUGACUCCAUGACGCAUGUUGUGGGGUGGAAAGCCUUGUGCGGCUAGAGAUGGGCCCGCGGCCUAUCAGCUUGUUGGUGGGGGAUGGCCUACCAAGGCGACGACGGGUAGCCGGCCUGAGAGGGCGACCGGCCACACUGGGACUGAGACACGGCCCAGACUCCUACGGGAGGCAGCAGUGGGGAAUCUUGCGCAAUGGGCGAAAGCCUGACGCAGCGACGCCGCGUGAGGAUGACGGCCU
rnacentral:rRNA from 1 species